UCGCAUCUACCGAUUGGAUGGUCCGGUGAAGCCUCGGGACUGUGGUCAGGUUCCUUUAUUGUGACCUGAUCGUGAGAACUUGUCUAAACCAUAUCAUCUAGAGGAAGGUG
rnacentral:rRNA from 1 species